AGGGGGCGAGGGAUUGGAGAGAAAGGCAGUUCCUGAUGGUCCCCUCCCCAGGGGCUGGCUUUCCUCUGGUCCUUCCCUCCCA
ensembl:miRNA